AAUUCAGGUUCGAUUUGUUGUGGUUGAGAUCAGCCGGGCCGAGGGUUUGAAGAAUGGAAGGUUUUUCAACAAAGGGGCUGGAAUCGAAGGUCUAUCAACAACAAUCGAAGGACUUGAUUCAUCUUGAAUCAAGGAUCAAGGAGUGGAAGCUACAUUCAACAUCUUGAAAGUUCUGUUGUAUAUGUGCUUUGGAAUCCUUGUAUAAACGGUUAAAUUCAACAGGUGAUAUCUAUUAAAUCAUC
rnacentral:lncRNA from 1 species